CUUCCAGUAGCACCUUAGAGACCAACUAAGUUUGUUAUUGGUAUGAGCUUACCUGAAGAAGUGUGCAUGCACACGAAAGCUCAUACCAAUAACAAACUUAGUUGGUCUCUAAGGUGCUACUGGAAG